CCAAUAGCGUAUAUUAAAGUUGUUGCAGUUAAAAAGCUCGUAGUUGAAUUUCGGGAUCAAUAUAUCGGUCGUGCCUUGGUACGUACUGGUAUCAUUGGUUUCUCCUUUCUGACGAACCAUGAUGUCAUUAAUUUGGUGUUAUGGGAAGUUAGGACUGUUACUUUGAAAAAAUUAGAGUGUUUAAAGCAGGCUUUGGCUUGAAUACAUUAGAAUGGAAUAAUGAAAUAGGACGUUUGAUUCUAUUUUGUUGGUUUCUAGGAUCGACGUAAUGAUUAAUAGGGAUAGUUGGGGGCAUUAGUAUUCAAUUGUCAGAGGUGAAAUUCUUGGAUUUAUUGAAGACUAACUACUGCGAAAGCAUUUGCCAAGGAUGUUUUCAUUAAUCAAGAACGAAAGUUAGGGGAUCGAAGACGAUCAGAUACCGUCGUAGUCUUAACCAUAAACUAUGCCGACUAGGGAUCGGACGAAGUUAAUUUUAUAAUGACGCGUUCGGCACCUUACG
rnacentral:misc_RNA from 1 species